rnacentral:rRNA from 1 species
UACAGAGGUGGCAAGCGUUGUUCGGAAUUACUGGGCGUAAAGGGCGCGUAGGCGGCCUCGCAAGUCCCGUGUGAAAUCCCUCGGCUCAACUGAGGAAUGGCACGGGAAACUGCGGGGCUUGAGUUCGGGAGAGGGAAGCGGAAUUCCGGGUGUAGCGGUGAAAUGCGUAGAUAUCGUAAGGAAGACCAGUGGCGAAGGCGGGUCUCUGGACAGUUCCUGACGCUGAGGCACGAAGGUCAGGGGAGCAAACGGG